rnacentral:rRNA from 1 species
CAGUCGCCGCGGGAAUACGGAGGAUCCAAGCGUUAUUCGGAAUUAUUGGGUUUAAAGGGUGCGUAGGCGGCAUGCUAAGUCAGGGGUGAAAGACGGUGGCUCAACCAUCGCAGUGCCUUUGAUACUGGUGUGCUUGAAUGUACAUGAGGUAGGCGGAAUGAGACAAGUAGCGGUGAAAUGCAUAGAUAUGUCUCAGAACACCAAUUGCGAAGGCAGCUUACUAAGGUAUGAUUGACGCUGAUGCACGAAAGCGUGGGGAUCAAACAGGAUUAGAUACCCCCGUAGUCCCUGUCUCUUAUAA